AAUUAAUUUAUACUACUCACACAUACCGUCACAGUAAUUGGGGUGCUCACAUAAAGCCAAUGAAAACUAGGGCUUUGAGUUAAUUGCUGGGGUUUGUGGAGGCUUAAC
rnacentral:sRNA from 1 species